rnacentral:misc_RNA from 1 species
GUGAAGAACGUAGCGAAAUGCGAUAAGUAGUGUGAAUUGCAGAAUUCAGUGAAUCAUCGAAUCUUUGAACGCACAUUGCGGCCAUAGGUAUUCCUUUGGCCAUGCCUGUUCGAGCGUCAUUUACACCCUCAAGCCUAGCUUGGUGUUGGGCGUCUGUCCCGCCGUUUUCGCGCGCGGACUCGCCUCAAAGUCAUUGGCGGCGGUCGUGCCGGCCCCCUCGCGCAGCACAUUUGCGCUUCUCGGAGGCCCGGCGGAUCCGCGCUCCAGCAAGACCUUUCACGACUUGACCUCGGAUCAGGUAGGGAUACCCGCUGAACUUAAGCAUAUCAAUAAGCGGAGGA